rnacentral:rRNA from 1 species
AGUGAACGCUGGCGGUAGGCCUAGCACAUGCAAGUCGAACGGCAGCACAGUAAGAGCUUGCUCUUACGGGUGGCGAGUGGCGGACGGGUGAGGAAUACAUCGGAAUCUACUUUUUCGUGGGGGAUAACGUAGGGAAACUUACGCUAAUACCGCAUACGACCUACGGGUGAAAGCAGGGGAUCUUCGGACCUUGCGCGAUUGAAUGAGCCGAUGUCGGAUUAGCUAGUUGGCGGGGUAAAGGCCCACCAAGGCGACGAUCCGUAGCUGGUCUGAGAGGAUGAUCAGCCACACUGGAACUGAGACACGGUCCAGACUCCUACGGGAGGCAGCAGUGGGGAAUAUUGGACAAUGGGCGCAAGCCUGAUCCAGCCAUACCGCGUGGGUGAAGAAGGCCUUCGGGUUGUAAAGCCCUUUUGUUGGGAAAGAAAAGCAGCAGGUUAAUACCCCGCUGUUCUGACGGUACCCAAAGAAUAAGCACUGGCUAACUUCGUG